rnacentral:rRNA from 1 species
GAUGAACGCUAGCGACAGGCCUAACACAUGCAAGUCGAGGGGUAACAGGGGCUUCGGCCCGCUGACGACCGGCGCACGGGUGAGUAACGCGUGGGUAACCUGCCCAUAAGAGGGGGAUAACAUCCGGAAACGGGUGCUAAUACCGCAUGGUUUUCUUGAUCGCAUGAUUGAGAAAGGAAGGCGGCCUUUGUGCUGUCGCUUAUGGAUGGACCCGCGGCGUAUUAGUUAGUUGGUGAGGUAACGGCUCACCAAGACGAUGAUACGUAGCCGACCUGAGAGGGUAUCGGCCACAUUGGGACU